rnacentral:rRNA from 1 species
AGCAGCCGCGGUAAUUCCAGCUCCAAUAGCGUAUAUUAAAGUUGUUGCAGUUAAAAAGCUCGUAGUUGAACUUCGGGAUCAAGGAAUCGGUCAUGCCUUGGUAUGUACUGGUUUUAUUGGUUCUCACCUUCUAAAGAACCAUAAUGUCAUUCAUUUGAUGUUAUGGGGAAUUAGGACUGUUACCUUGAAAAAUUAGAGUGUUUAAAGCAGGCUUACGCUUGAAUACAUUAGCAUGGAAUAACGGAAUAGGACGUUUGAUUCUAUUUUGUUGGUUUCUAGGAUCGACGUAAUGAUUAAUAGGGAUAGUUGGGGGCAUUAGUAUUCAAUUGUCAGAGGUGAAAUUCUUGGAUUUAUUGAAGACUAACUACUGCGAAAGCAUUUGCCAAGGAUGUUUUCAUUAAUCAAGAACGAA